rnacentral:tRNA from 1 species
GGAAGGUGUGCACCCGGUGGUGCACUCGGUUUGCUAAACCGAUUCAAGUCAUCGGCUUGGAGGUUCAACUCCUCCACCUUCCG